UACGGAGGGAGCUAGCGUUGUUCGGAAUUACUGGGCGUAAAGCGCACGUAGGCGGCUUUGUAAGUUAGAGGUGAAAGCCCGGGGCUCAACCCCGGAAUUGCCUUUAAGACUGCAUCGCUUGAAUCCGGGAGAGGUGAGUGGAAUUCCGAGUGUAGAGGUGAAAUUCGUAGAUAUUGGGAAGAACACCGGUGGCGAAGGCGGCGCUCUGGACCGAUACUGACGCUGAGGCGCGAAAGCGUGGGGAGCAAACAGG
rnacentral:rRNA from 1 species